AGGAAGAGAAAAAGAAAAGAAUUUCCAAAGUAUGAUUUUUCUGGAAUUUGACCCUGAAAGAAUAGGACAGAGUUAUCAUUUUUUAAAAUUAUUUUUUCCUUCCAUCCAAAGAUAUAGACUCAUUUUUAAAACCUCCAUCCUUACAAAACCUUGUGGAGUAGAGCCACUAGCCCCAGUGCCCUCCAUCCUCUGGAUUAUCCAUGAUUUUUUUUUUUUGUCACCUCCAAUUACAGUGUGUCAUAGAUUUUUAAAAAAUGCAACUAAAGUUUAAAAUAACAUGAUGGUUUGAUGAGUUAAUGCUAAGUAAAUACCUAUAUAAAAUAUUGACCCACUCCCUCCACCUUUGUUGAAGCUGGGAGGGAGGAACAGUAAAAACAAUCGUGUGUUUUCAAUAAAAUGAAAGGUUCUGUCAGAAAUGAGUGGGAAAUGGGCACAAAAUUAUGGAACUGCCCUGGAUGGCUCUGCUCUCCUGGAAAUGACUGCCAGAUACAGGAAGUAGAGAGCAGAGGUCCACUGGGAACAGAUCUCAGAAGCAGAGAGGAGCACUACUAGAGAGCAAGGGACCCUCCUCCUAUACUCAUCCCCCAGACUUCUCCCUCCUAUGCUUGUGAACCUUUACUGGAUUAACCAUGAGCGUAGUGGGCAAAAAUAUAAAGUAUAUCAAGACAUCACCAAGCCAGCUUAUUGCAGAGGCAUGGUGGAAGACUCUAAAGAGGAGAAAAUCUUCCAUUAAGAUAUGUCUUAAAAAUAAGUUAAAUUGGUCGGCAAAGCCUGAGUUCUGUCCUCUCACCCUCCUCCCUGGACAUCAUGAGCUUCACCAUUCACUCCGCCUUCUCCACCAACUACCGGUCCCUGGGCUCUGUCCAGGUGCCCAGCUAUGACUCCUGGCUGGUGAGCAGCAUGGCCAGCGUCUGUGCAGCCGCCAGGGGCGCUGGUUGCCAGAUCUCCGUGUCCCGCUUCACCAGCUUCUUGGGCAGCAUGGGGUCUGGGGGCCUGACCACGGGGAUGGCCAGGGGUCUGGCAGGAAUGGGAGGCAUCCAGACCGAGGAGACCAUGCAAAACCUGACGACCACGUGGUCUCCUACCUGGACAGAGUGAGGAGCCUGGAGACAGGGAACCAGAGGCUGGAGAGCAAAAUCCAGGAGAACCUGGAGAAGAAGGGACCCCAGGUCAGAGACUGGAGCCAUUACUUCAAGACCAUUGAGGACCUGAGGGCUCAGAUCUUCACAAAUACUGUGGACAAUGCGGUCUGCAGAUUGACAAUGCCCAUCUUGCUGCUGAUGACUUUAGAAUCAAGUAUGAGACAGAGCUGGCCAUGCGCCAGUGUGUGAAGAACAACAUCCAUGGGAAUGAAAUCCAUGACACUAAUGUCACUCGGCUGCAGCUGGAGACAGAUUGAGGCUCUCAAGGAGGAGCUGCUCUUCAUGAAGAACCACGAAGAGGAAGUAAAAGGCCUACAAGCCCAGACUGCCAGCUCUGGGUUGACCGUGGAGGUAGAUGUCCCCAAAUCUCAGGACCUCACCAAGAUAAUGGCAGACAUCCAGGCCCAAUAUGACAAGCUGGCUUGGAAGAACCAAUAGGAGCUGGACAAGUACUGGUGUUAACAGAUUGAGGAGAGCAACACAGGGGUCACCACGCAGUCCGUCAAGGUUGGAGCUGCUAUGACACUCACGGAGCUGAGACAUACAGUCCAGUCCUUGGAGAUCAACCUGGACUCCACGAGAAAUCUGAAGGCCAGCUUGGAGAACAGCCUGAGGGAGGUGGAGGCCCGUUAUGCCCUGCAGAUGGAGCAGCUCAAUGGGAUCGUGCUGCACCUGGAGUCAGAGCUGGCACAGGCCUGGGCAGAGGGACAGUGCCAGGCCCAGGAGUACGAGGGCCUGCUGAACAUCGCGGUCAAGCUAGAGGCUGAGAUCGCCACCUACCACCGCCUGCUGGAAGAUGGCAAGGACUUCAAUCUUGGUGAUGCCCUGGACAGCAGCAACUCCAUGUAAACCAUCCAAAAGACCACCAUCCGCUGGAGAGUGGAUGGCAAAGUGGUAUCUGAGACCAAAGACACCAAAGUUCUGAGAUAUUAAGCCAGCAAAAGCAGGGUACCCUUUGGGGAGCAGGAGGCCAAUAAAAAGUUCAGAGGUCAAAAAAAGUUAAAUUAUAUUACUCUCAAGUCAUUACAAAUAUAGGUGAUGAUUUCAUUGAAGUCCAGUGUUUUAAUGAAGUACAUAAUCAAUUAGGGUUUUUACUUUUUAUUUGGAAAGAAGAUAUGGAAGUUGUAAAAAUAGACUUCUCCUAUAUAUUCCUCCAACUUUCCCCAAUGAUAAUAUCUCACACAACCAUAGAUUAUCAAAACCAGAAAACUGACCAGGCACAGUGGUGUACCACUUAUAGUCCCAGCUACUCAGGUGGCUGAGGUGGGAAGAUCCCUUGAGUUCAGGAGUUCAAGGCCAGCCUGGGCAACACAGUGAGACCCUGGCUCUAAAAACAAAAAUGGAAGAAAACCAGAAAACUGGUGUCAUCAAUUGUGUUUAAGGAAACCGAGGGUCCUUUAAAAGUUUGUUAUAAAAUUAUAGAUAUCUCAUAAAUAUUGAGGUGGAAAGAUUCCCUGGAAGCAGCCUAAUCAGAAAGUGAAGACAAUGACAUCCAGAUAGGUUAAUACUUCUGCCAGCACCAUAAUUACACUCUCUUGGCUGUACAUUCCAAUCACUGGAAGACAGGCAAAACUGAACCACUGGCUGGGCCCACCUUAAAUCAAUGACUUCAACCUCUGCAGGCAAGGCUCAAGUAUCAGUACGUUUUAAAACAACUUUGCCCGCUGAAGGUUCACUUAAUCAACUGAUAAGGCCGGGUGCGGUGGCUCAUACCUGUAAUCCCAGCACUUUGGAUGCCUGUAAUCCCAGCAUUUUGGGAGGCCGAGGCGGGCAGAUCACCUGAGGUCAGG